AUAAAGAUCUCCGAAAUUUUUUUGGUCAAAUUAUUUUAUAAAUUGUAUUCACUCUUCAUUCAUUUAAGUAUUAUGUAGAUAAAUUUGAUUGCCCACUUUUUAUUCAUAUUUUGGAUAAUUUGUUUGAUGUAAUCAAGUUAAGUUUUUCAUAGAUACCAACAAAAUCUAUAUUUAUUACAAUUUUUGUCAUGAAAUUAAAUGUUUCUGGAAAAUAUGGGAGAACCCAAUAAAUGACUAUUAUUAUAUUCUGACUACGGAGUAAGAGAAUGUUUUUGUUCAAUUUCCGGUUGUCAAUUUUUUCAAUUUUGCAGAAACUAAAGCUAAACAGACUCCAAGAGCCUUGAAAAUGAUGAAAAUUCCCUUGACAGUCGUUAUAAUUUCAUUUUUUGGAGUUUUUGGGAAGGAUCGAAAAAUUGCAGAUGACUUCAUCCUGGCGACCCCCUGCUACCCCCGGUGCAAAAGGGAGCUGGACGAAUGCAAAGAGUUUCACAAAUGUUCGGGUCGUAGACAAUCUAAACGGAAAGAGUGCCUGGCAUACUGCACGGACUGGUACUACAGCUGUAUGAAAUGUUAAAUAUGAGAGAUAUCAUGUUGAUCCUAUCAUUUUUUUAAUAAAUUCAAUUGAAC
rnacentral:sRNA from 1 species